rnacentral:rRNA from 1 species
AUUGAACGCUGGCGGCAGGCUUAACACAUGCAAGUCGAGCGGGGGAAGGUAGCUUGCUACCGGACCUAGUGGCGGACGGGUGAGUAAUGCUUAGGAAUCUGCCUAUUAGUGGGGGACAACAUCUCGAAAGGGAUGCUAAUACCGCAUACGUCCUACGGGAGAAAGCAGGGGAUCUUCGGACCUUGCGCUAAUAGAUGAGCCUAAGUCGGAUUAGCUAGUUGGUGGGGUAAAGGCCUACCAAGGCGACGAUCUGUAGUGGGUCUGAGAGGAUGAUCCGCCACACUGGGACUGAGACACGGCCCAGACUCCUACGGGAGGCAGCAGUGGGGAAUAUUGGACAAUGGGGGGAACCCUGAUCCAGCCAUGCCGCGUGUGUGAAGAAGGCCUUAUGGUUGUAAAGCACUUUAAGCGAGGAGGAGGCUACUCUAGUUAAUACCUAGGGAUAGUGGACGUUACUCGCAGAAUAAGCACCGGCUAACUCUGUGCCAGCAGCCGCAGUAA